rnacentral:rRNA from 1 species
GACGAACGCUGGCGGCGUGCUUAACACAUGCAAGUCGAGCGGUAAGGCCCUUUCGGGGGUACACGAGCGGCGAACGGGUGAGUAACACGUGGGUGCCCUGCCCUCAGCUCUGGGAUAAGCCUGGGAAACCGGGUCUAAUACUGGAUAUGACUCCAUGACGCAUGUUGUGGGGUGGAAAGCCUUGUGCGGCUGAGGAUGGGCCCGCGGCCUAUCAGCUUGUUGGUGGGGUGANGGCCUACCAAGGCGACGACGGGUAGCCGGCCUGAGAGGGCGACCGGCCACACUGGGACUGAGACACGGCCCAGACUCCUACGGGAGGCAGCAGUGGGGAAUCUUGCGCAAUGGGCGAAAGCCUGACGCAGCGACGCCGCGUGAGGGAUGACGGCCU